rnacentral:snRNA from 1 species
UAUGACAUAACAUUUCAUAAAAGUAGUAAGCUUGAAAAACAAAGAGAGGAUCAGCAUGGCCCCUGCACCGGAUGACACGGAUGAGAGUUCGAGAAGUGUUGCAGAAUUUU